rnacentral:rRNA from 1 species
GUCGAACGCGCAGCAUUCUGUAGCAAUACAGGGUGUGGGCGCGUGGCGAACGGGUGCGUAACACGUGGAUAACCUUCCUUGAGGUGGGGAAUAACCCAGUGAAAAUUGGGCUAAUACCGCAUAACACAGCGAUGGCACAUGCUGAUGCUGUCAAAGGCGCAAGUCGCCACAAGAGGGAUCCGCGGCCGAUUAGCUUGUUGGCGAGGUAAUGGCUCACCAAGGCAAUGAUCGGUAGCCGGACUGAGAGGUUGGCCGGCCACACUGGAACUGAGACACGGUCCAGACUCCUACGGGAGGCAGCAGUGGGGAAUCUUGCACAAUGGACGAAAGUCUGAUGCAGCAACGCCGCGUGGGGGAUGAAGCUUCUCGGAGUGUAAACCCCUUUCGACCCGGAAGAAUGCCCGCAAGGGUAUGACGGUACGGGUAUAAGAAGCCCCGGCUAACUACGUGCCAGCAGCCGCGGUAAUACGUAGGGGGCCAGCGUUGCUCGGAAUUACUGGGCGUAAAGGGUCCGUAGGCGGUGUAGCAAGUCGAUAGUGAAAUCUCUGCGCUUAACGCAGAGGCUGCUAACGAAACUGCUGUGCUAGAGUGUGAGAGAGGCGAGUGGAAUUACGGGUGUAGCGGUGAAAUGCGUAGAUAUCCGUAGGAACAUCCGAGGCGAAGGCGGCUCGCUGGAUCACAACUGACGCUGAGGGACGAAAGCUA